rnacentral:rRNA from 1 species
GAUGAACGCUGGCGGCGUGCUUAACACAUGCAAGUCGAACGAUUGAAGCUGGAGCUUGCUCCGGCCGAUUUAGUGGCGGACGGGUGAGUAACGCGUGGGUAACCUGCCUCAUACAGGGGGAUAGCAGUUGGAAACGACUGGUAAAACCGCAUAAGCGCACAGUAUCGCACGAUACAGUGUGAAAACACUCCGGUGGUAUGAGAUGGACCCGCGUCUGAUUAGCUAGUUGGUGAGGUAACGGCCCACCAAGGCGACGAUCAGUAGCCGGCCUGAGAGGGUGAACGGCCACAUUGGGACUGAGACACGGCCCAAACUCCUACGGGAGGCAGCAGUGGGGAAUAUUGCACAAUGGGGGAAACCCUGAUGCAGCGACGCCGCGUGAGUGAAGAAGUAUUUCGGUAUGUAAAGCUCUAUCAGCAGGGAAGAUAAUGACGGUACCUGACUAAGAAGCA